CCUGCCUCAGCCAUGAGCUUCGGGGUGCUCUGCCCUCUGGUCCUCUGUCUCCUGGGAGCAGUCUCUGUGGACACUGGAGUUACUCAAACACCCAGAUACCUGGUCCUGGGAACGAGAGAUAAGAGAUCUUUGAAUUGUGAACAAGAUAUGGGACACAGUUUUAUGUAUUGGUAUAAACAGAGUGCUCAGAACCCACCGGAGCUCAUGUUCACCUGUAACUUCAAGGACCUCGCUAAAAAUGAGACUGUUCCGAGUCGCUUCAGGCUUGAUUGUCCAGCGAGCUCCCCCCUUUACCUGCACGUGGACGCCCUGAAACCAGAAGACUCGGCCGUGUAUCUCUGCGCCAGCAGUAGAGACACAGCCCUGCAGGGCCAGCCGCUUCCUCUGCACAAACCUCGAGCACCCAGCCAGGAGGCUGUGGGGCCAACCAAGGCUUGGUUCCCCAUUUCCUGGAAGACCCUCAAUGGAAAGCUCAGACCCUGAGACUGCCUGCGGGCUCAUGGCCAUGGCUCUUCUGAGUUCCAUCACAGUCACCAGCCACCUGUCCUGAGCAAGGCUGGGCCUGCAGCUGAAUGUAGGACAAUGUUCAAGUCUAUCCCACGCAUUUUCCAGUGGGCCGGGCCCCCUGGGAAGUCUUUCAGAAGAC